rnacentral:rRNA from 1 species
GACGAACGCUGGCGGCGUGCCUAAUACAUGCAAGUCGAGCGGACUUGACGGAGCUUGCUCCUGAUAGUCAGCGGCGGACGGGUGAGUAACACGUGGGCAACCUGCCUGUAAGACUGGGAUAACUUCGGGAAACCGGAGCUAAUACCGGAUACGUUCUUUUCUCGCAUGAGAGAAGAUGGAAAGACGGUUUCGGCUGUCACUUACAGAUGGGCCCGCGGCGCAUUAGCUAGUUGGUGGGGUAAUGGCCCACCAAGGCGGCGAUGCGUAGCCGACCUGAGAGGGUGAGCGGCCACACUGGGACUGAGACACGGCCCAGACUCCUACGGGAGGCAGCAGUAGGGAAUCUUCCGCAAUGGACGAAAGUCUGACGGAGCAACGCCGCGUGAGUGAAGAAGGUCUUCGGAUCGUAAAACUCUGUUGUCAGGGAAGAACAAGUGCCAUAGUAACUGAUGGUACCUUGACGGUACCUGACCAGAAAGCCACGGCUAACUACGUGCCAGCCGCCGCGGUAAAAC